AAUAAAUUUUUUAUAGUUUAUAAAUUUAUUAUAAAUUUAUUUUGCAUAUAAAUUUUAGUGUUUAUUUUUCAUUAUUUUAAUAAUUUUUGAAUUUUAAAAUAUAUAGCAAUUAAUAUUAAAAAUUUAAGAGAUUAAGAUUUAGUAAUAUUUAAAUUAAUAACAAAUUUUGUGCCAGCAGUUGCGGUUAUACAAAAAUUAAAUUAAAUUUUAUUAGUAAUUAAUUUAUAAAAAUUUUAUUUAAUUAAAUAUUAAAUUAAUAGGUGAAAUUUUUAUUUGAUUUAAUUUAAUUUAAUUUUAUAAUUUAAUAAAUUUAUAUUAUAAACUAGGAUUAGAUACCCUAUUAUUAAAAAUUUAAAUUUAAAAUACUAAAAUAGUAUAUAAUUAUUUAUUGAAACUUAAAUAAUUUGGCGGUAUUUUAGUUCAUUUAGAGGAAUCUGUUUAUUAAUUGAUAAUCCACGAAUGAAUUUACUUAAUUUAAAAUUUUGUAUAUCGUUGUUAAAAAAAUAUUUUUAAAUGAAAAUAAUAUUUUAAUUUUAUAAUUAAAAAUUAAAUCAGAUCAAGAUGCAGAUUAUAAUUAAGAAUAUAAUGGAUUACAAUAAAUUUAUUUAAAUGAAUUUUUUUUUGUAAUAAAAAUUUGAAAGUGGAUUUAAAUGUAAUUUUAUUUAUUUUAAUAAAAUGAUUAUAUAUUAAAAUAUGUACAUAUUGCCCGUCGCUUUCAUAAAUAAAUUGGAAUAAGUCGUAACAAAGUAGAGGUACUGGAAAGUGUUUCUAGAAAUAA
rnacentral:ncRNA from 1 species